AGAGUCUGAUCCUGGCUCAGAGUGAACGCUGGCGGCGUAGAUUAGGCAUGCAAGUCGAGCGAUAUUUUUUCUGGAUAUGGUGAAGCCGCAAGGCUGAUCUGUUGAAGGAAAAAAAUAUAGCGGCAGACUGGUGAGUAACACGUGAGUAAUUUACCUCUAAGUCGGGGAUAGCUUUGCGAAAGCGAAGGUAAUACCCGAUGUGUUUACGAUUGCAUAAGCAGUUGUAAGUAAAGGAGGCUCGCAAGAGUUUUUGUUUAGAGAUGAGCUCGCGUCCUAUCAGCUAGUUGGUGGGGUAAUGGCCUACCAAGGCAUUUGACGGGUAGCUGGCCUGAGAGGGUGGUCAGCCACAUGGGGACUGAGACACUGCCCCAACUCCUACGGGAGGCUGCAGUCGAGGAUAUUUAGCAAUGGACGAAAGUCUGACUAUGUGACGCCGCGUGAGGGAUGAAGGUCUUCGGAUUGUAAACCUCUUUCGAUGGGGAAGAAAACCUGUUCUUAACGGAACAGACU
rnacentral:rRNA from 1 species